UAGAGUUUGAUCAUGGCUCAGAUUGAACGCUGGCGGCAGGCCUAACACAUGCAAGUCGAGCGGAAACGAUGGAAGCUUGCUUCCAGGCGUCGAGCGGCGGACGGGUGAGUAAUGCAUGGGAAUCUGCCCGAUAGUGGGGGAUAACCUGGGGAAACCCAGGCUAAUACCGCAUACGUCCUACGGGAGAAAGCAGGGGAUCUUCGGACCUUGCGCUAUCGGAUGAGCCCAUGUCGGAUUAGCUUGUUGGUGAGGUAAUGGCUCACCAAGGCGACGAUCCGUAGCUGGUCUGAGAGGAUGAUCAGCCACAUCGGGACUGAGACACGGCCCGAACUCCUACGGGAGGCAGCAGUGGGGAAUAUUGGACAAUGGGCGAAAGCCUGAUCCAGCCAUGCCGCGUGU
rnacentral:rRNA from 1 species